ensembl:lncRNA
GCUCAUGUCAGUUUGCAUAAUUGGGAAUUCUGAUUUUACUGUUCCAUAAAGAGUCACACUUAAUUAUUUGAUUAAACACUGGACGCUGUGACCCAGCGAGCCCAGUUCCCUACAGUGACUCAAAAUAGACUCUAAGCUGGUGAACCUGGGAAUCAAGUUGUAUAAGAUCAGGCUACCCAAGAUGGCUGUUCCCUUGCUCUCGGAACAUUCCCUGCUCCACCAGUUCCUGCUUCACCUAAACCCUAUUCAAAUGACUGGCCUUCCUACAUACUUGCCCUGGCCCCAGCUGGUGAUUGCCCUAAUCUUUGGAUCAGAACAGCCCCACCUCGAUGGCUCCUCCUCAAAGGGGAAGAUUUUGCUCCUCUGCUGGUUUCCCUGCUCACCAACAAGCCCAGCUGACAUCAAUUACCACCAUCACCAGUAACCUCUCCCCUCACCACCCUCAGGGAAAACCGCUGCCAUUUCCUGCCCACCGCCUGCCCCACACAAUGGGGUGUUGCCCCAGGAUCUUGCUCCAGACAUAUCUUGUGGAUCAGCCCUGACAUGGGCACAUGAACAUGCUCUUGCCGGAUGGAUGUCUGCUGAGAUGGAAUGGUAUUUGCAUGGACAUGUGUCCACAGGGCCUUGAGGAUGUGACAAUGGUGGAGUCACAGGUCACCAGAGAAACCCUGCGUCAAGGCCCCACACCCCCCCUCCACCCAGAUUGCCUUCCUGCUCCUGGGGAAGCUCACUCACUUUUCCGUUUGUGUUCUUACGAGGCCGUGGGAUCCUCUCCUGAAAGGCAUCUUCAAAGAAGUCAGGAUGAAAGAAACCCACCCCUUCCAGCCAUCUGGGAUUAGGCAGGCUGAAGCGUGCAACCCCCAGAUAGAUCAUGGCAGCAUUUCUCCGACCAUCUCCAAAUGUCAAGUGGAGGAAUGAAUUACAGCUCAUCAAUAGCUGCUUCUUUCUUUGAAGAGACAUUUUAGGGAGAGGAAAAGGUCACUGCCUGCUUCCAUGCUUUGCUUCUUCCUCACUUUUUAUUUGAUAGACUUUACUUUUUUAGAACACUUUUAGGUUCACUAUAAAAUUGAGCAGAAGGUAAGCAACUAUACUCCAAUAAAAAUUAAUAUAAAAAGAUUGAACAAGCCUUCUCUGGCAGCUCAGUGGUAAAGAACCUGCCUGCCAAUGCAGGAUUCAGUCCCUGGGCUGAGAAGAUUCCACAUGCUGAUUCCACACGACUGAUCCUGUGUUCUAGAGCCUGGGAGCCAUGACUACUGAGCCCGUGUGGCGAAACUACUGAAGUCCACAUGCCAUAGAGCCCAUGAUCUGCAACAAGAGAAGCCACCUCAAGGAGAAGCCCACACACUGCAACCGAGAGAAAGCCCAUGCAGCUACAGAGACCCAGCCCAGCCAAAAAUAAAUAAAAUUAUUUUAAAAAUUGAGCAGAAGGUACAGAGAUUUCUGGCGGACCCCACACACAUGCACAGCCACCCCAUCAUCAACAUUCCCCAUCAGAGGCUCAUGCAUUCUUUUUUUAAUGCCCUCCAUUUCUUCUUUUGGAUUUUCUUUCUUUUUGCUACAAAACUCCUUCCUCCUCCAGAAAUGCCUCUCCUUUCAUUUCACACUUAAUGUUCUUUUGACUUUAGCUCCUUAUCACUGGCAUGGAGUCUCAGGGCUUCUUCCUUAGGUCCUUCCCCUAGCUACAUUUUCUCUACCCAAAAUUUCCCUUGUUAUUCUCUGCAUCUAUUAACAAUGAAUUUUCUUCUCACUGCAUUUUAUGUAUUAGUAUAAAAGUAAUAGGGCUUCCUGGUGGCUCAGACGGGAAAGAAUCUGCCUGAAAUGCAGGAGACCUGGGUUGGGAAGAUACCCUGGAGAAGGGGAUGGCAACCCACUCCAGUAUUCUUGCCUGGAGAAUCCCCAUGGACAGAGUAGCCUGGAGGGCUAUAGUCCAUGGGGUUGCAAAGAGUCGGACAUGACUCAGCGACUAGGCACAG